ensembl:lncRNA
CUCUCUCUUCCUGCUCUCUCUCUCUCUUCCUGCUCUCUCUUUCUGCUCUCUCUCCCUGCUCUCUCUUCUGCUCUUUCUUCCUGCUCUCUCUCUUCCUGCUCUCUCUUCCUGCUCUCUCUCUCUCUUUCUCUCUCCUCUCUCUUUCUGCUCUCUCUUUCUGCUCUCUCCCUGCUCUCUCUUUCUGCUCUCUCUUUCUGCUCUCUCUUUCUGCUCUCUCUUUCUCUUUCUGCUCUCUCUUUCUGCUCUCUCUUUCUGCUCUCUCUUUCUGCUCUCUCUUUCUGCUCUCUCUUUCUGUUUCUGCUCUCUCUUUCUGCUCUCUCUUUCUGCUCUCUCUUUCUGCUCUCUCUCUCUCACUCCCUUUUAUGCAUCUCUCUCUCUAUAUAAUUGGGUCUAUUAGCUCCUACAGGAGGUCAUGAGCAAUACCUCUAUAGAUGGGUGGGCACAGACUCUAACUGAACUGGCCGUGUGUGUAGACUAAAGUGCAGGGGGGGAAGAGCCACAGGGAAUAGAGUGUUGGGGAGAAACAAGCAUUAAUGCACUAAGAUGGACCUCAGCUCAUGUCUGCAUGCAGCAGGGGCAGGUAGCCUAGUGGUUAGAGGGGGCAGGUAGCCUAGUGGUUAGAGGAGGCAGGUAGCCUAGUGGUUAGAGGAGGCAGGUAGCCUAGUGGUUAGAGGAGGCAGGUAGCCUAGUGGUUAGAGGAGGCAGGUAGCCUAGUGGUUAGAGGGGGCAGGUAGCCUAGUGGUUAGAGGAGGCAGGUAGUCUAGUGGUUAGAGGAGGCAGGUAGCCUAGUGGUUAGAGGGGGCAGGUAGCCUAGUGGUUAGAGGAGGCAGGUAGCCUAGUGGUUAGAGGAGGCAGGUAGCCUAGUGGUUAGAGGGGGCAGGUAGCCUAGUGGUUAGAGGAGGCAGGUAGCCUAGUGGUUAGAGGAGGCAGGUAGCCUAGUGGUUAGAGGAG